AACUAGACAGUAUGUGGCAGGGAGAUGCACAGACAGAGCAUGAGGACGAAUAUGAGAAUGUAGAGAGUGAGGACGAGGACGAACAGAAGGAAGAUCCUCCCCAGCCUCAAAUCAAUUAAAUGUUAAUCGUCCGGAUCAAAAAACGGCCAAUAGGCUUCGUCCGGACCAAGAGAAGGCCAUUAGUCUUCGUCCGGACCAAAAAACGGCCAAAAGGCUUCGUCCGAAACGUAAAAUCGUAGACAAUAUGCAUCAUUUGGAGAAAAGAAAGGGCUAGCCGGCAAUUUUAGGACCAAUUUAAUAUUUACUCAUUGUAUUAUAGUUUCAAGAUCAAUUCAACCAUUUUAUAUCAACAUAAAUCGUCUUUGAACAACGCGGCAUUCAUUCGUAUACAUAAAAAUACAAAUAUCAUAAUUAAGAAAACUAAUGUCUAAUAUCCAGGGAUUUUAAAAAUGUCGUCUUGCUAUUUUAUACAUUCAAAAUUGAUGCAGAUAUCAUUAUUUUAUUUCAUUGGGCCGUUUUAAAGAUAUAAGAUUUCAGACCUCAUUUCGUUGUUAAAACAAACUUUUAAAACAUCGAAGACAGUUCAUUAUGCCUUUUAUUUUUGGACCCCUCUGUACUUAAUACAAUAAGUAUCAGCUUUAAUUUUCUUAAAAUUCAUUUUAAAAAAUUGUGUUGAUAAAAUUUUAGUAAAAUCUGGGUUUCUAUGUUUUAUGACUUCUAGGUUUACAAAGAAAAUUUAAAAUUGAAUUAAUUUGAUAUUAUUAAAGAUCUUCAAGUAUUCAUGUUGUAUUAAUUAUUAAUCAAUGUUUUCAUACUUUAUUAGAUUAUUUAUGUUUAACAUAAACUAUUUAUUAUCCACUAUAUGUAUAUAACCGUAUUCAUUUAUUCUCUCUUGUACACUGUACGAUAUGUUUAUGUUAACAUGUUAAAUAACACAGGAUAAGAAUUCUGUUUAAUGUACAUCACUCGGUAGUCGGAUAUGGAACGUGUCCCCCGCCCCCACCCCCCCUAUAAUCUUUAUGAGGAAAUAUGACAUUUUUUUGAGAAAUGUUUGACGGAUCAUGAGCAGUUGUUUUCCCCGCGUUUCGGGUAGUUACGUAAAUACUUUUAAGGUUUUCUUAAAUCAAGAAAUUUUUUAAUUCACUAAUACACCCCCCCCCCUCUCAUCGCUCUCUUUUUCUUUUUGUGACCAUAUAUUUGAAAAUUUGCACUUUUGAGUUUCUAGGUUUUUUUGAAUUGUAGUUUAGUGUUUCAAAUUACUAUAUUGUGUAAUAUUUUGUAAUGUUGAAAAAUAUGUAAUUUAUAUGUUUCUCCCUUUUUUAGAAAUAAAUUGGUUAAAAACA